CAGUAGCCGCGGUAAUACGGAGGGUGCAAGCGUUAAUCGGAAUUACUGGGCGUAAAGCGCACGCAGGCGGUCUGUUAAGUCAGAUGUGAAAUCCCCGGGCUCAACCCGGGAACUGCAUUUGAAACUGGCAGGCUUGAGUCUUGUAGAGGGGGGUAGAAUUCCAGGUGUAGCGGUGAAAUGCGUAGAGAUCUGGAGGAGUACCGGUGGCGAAGGCGGCCCCCUGGACAAAGACUGACUCUCAGGUGCGAAAGCGUGGGGAGCAAACAGGAUUAGAUACCCCGGUAGUCCCUGUCUCUUAUAC
rnacentral:rRNA from 1 species